CUGUUCAAAUUUCAAAUCAAAAGGUGAUUGUUCUUCAAACUUUCUGCGUGUCCACUAAUGCAUUUAUCCUUUCACAUUUGAUAUCACAUUCUCAGUGCUGUGUCAGACAUGUAGAAAUGUUUAUUUAUGCAUAUAGGGAUAGAUAGACUUGUUUGAAAUAUAAAAUAAAGUAAAAAAAAAAAAAGUAAGAAAACAAGUUCAGUUGAAAGUACAAUGAAAGAGAAAAGCGCGGGACUCAAAGAGGACUUAAACCCUCUGCCACACGAAACCCCCCACGCUUUCUCUCUCUCCUCUGUUUCGAUUUCCGACACCUCCCAAACCAUACCCGAUACCUCUAUCCGGUGAAACAUACCCUAACUCACCAAAAAUCUCAAGUUUCCUUUCCUCUUCCUCUCUUCACUCACCGAACCACCAUUACCCGAUUUCAUUUUUGUUUCAAUGGCUCGCUCCAAACGAAAAUCCCCUGUUGUUGCAGCUGCUUCAUCUUCCUCGUCAGCCUCCGACGAUGUUCCUGUCGCGGCAUUGCGAAAGAAAAUGAAAGGAAAGCAAAACGUGCCGAAAUCAAAAUCAGCUAGUGAGUCUUCUCACUCGUCCAAGGGUGUUGAAUCCUCUAAAUCGACGCCAGAAAAGAAAAAGACGGUACAGAAGCAAGGGACGGAUGCUAAAAAGAAAAUGGGUAUCGAAAAACUUUCGGGUUCAGUGGAUAAAGCACUGUUGGAUUGCAAAUUCAUCAAAUGGGAGAACUUUAAUCAGGUAAACUUCACUUUAAAGAGCUUUUUGAGUUUCAAGGCUAGUUGGGUGUCUGUGAAUGUGCAAAUGAGUACUACCCUAGGCUUGUACAAGAAUUUUAUAGAACCUUGCGAACUGUUGAUGAUGAGGAUCAAUUUGAAGUUAUUUUGAAUACACAUACAUAUAGUGUCUCUGUUGAAUUGAUAGCCACGGCUUUAAAAUUGCCCAAUGAUGGAAAUAGAAUUUCCACGCAUAAGGAUGUUGCUAGAGUAGCAGGUUUUAAUCUGGUUGAGUUUGAGAAUGAGGUAUUUCCUGCUAGCACUGCCAAAAAUGAGAAAUCCACCAGUACCAAAGCCCUCCAGCAUAUCAAAAUUAUUCACAGUAUGGUGAACUACAUUUUCUGUCCUAAAUCUGGUAGCUAUGGUAAUUUGAGUCACUUGGACAUGUGUGUUAUGUGGCACAUUGUGAAUAAAGUUAGGAUGAAUUUAGCUUAUUUAAUUUUCAAAAACAUGUGCAAAGCUUAUGGGAUU
rnacentral:misc_RNA from 1 species